rnacentral:snRNA from 1 species
GUACUCACUUCAGCAGCACAUAUAUGAAAAAUUAGAGCAAUAUAGAGAAGAUUAGCAUGGCCCCUGUGCAAGGAUGACAUGCAAAUUUGUGAAGCAUUCCAUAUUUUU